GAUGAACGCUAGCGGCAGGCUUAAUACAUGCAAGUCGUGGGGCAGCAUGGUGUGUAGCAAUACACACUGAUGGCGACCGGCAAACGGGUGCGGAACACGUACGCAACUUACCCUUAAGUGGGGGAUAGCCCGGGGAAACCCGGAUUAAUACCUCGUAACACUGUGAAGUGGCAUCACUUUAUAGUUAUAGCUCCGGCGCUUAAGGAUGGGCGUGAGUCCCAUUAGGUAGUUGGUUGAGGUAACGGCUCACCAAGCCUGCGAUGGGUAACUGGUGUGAGAGCACGACCAGUCACACGGGCACUGAGACACGGGCCCGACUCCUACGGGAGGCAGCAGUAAGGAAUAUUGGUCAAUGGACGCAAGUCUGAACCAGCCAUGCCGCGUGGAGGAUGAAGGCCCUCUGGGUUGUAAACUUCUUUUAUGGGGGACGAAACCCCGGAUUUUUAUCCGGCCUGACGGUACCCCAGGAAUAAGCACCGGCUAACUCCGUGCCAGCAGCCGCUGUAACAC
rnacentral:rRNA from 1 species